AUUGAACGCUGGCGGCAUGCCUUACACAUGCAAGUCGAACGGCAGCACGGGUGCUUGCACCUGGUGGCGAGUGGCGAACGGGUGAGUAAUACAUCGGAACAUGUCCUGUAGUGGGGGUAGGCCGGCGAAAAGCGGAAUUAAACCGCAUACCGCCUACGGACUAAAGGGGGGGGCCGUGGGGCCUCGGGCCUUUCGGGUUGGCGUGGGCCGAUGGCUGAUUAGCUAGGUGGUGGGGUAAAGGCCGACCAAGGCGACGAUCAGUAGCUGGUCUGAGAGGACGACCAGCCACACUGGGACUGAGACACGGCCCAGACUCCUACGGGAGGCAGCAGUGGGGAAUUUUGGACAAUGGGCGAAAGCCUGAUCCAGCAAUGCCGCGUGUGUGAAGAAGGCCUUCGGGUUGUAAAGCACUUUUGUCCGGAAAGAAAUCCUUGGCUCUAAUACAGUCGGGGGAUGACGGUACCGGAAGAAUAAGCACCGGCUAACUACGUG
rnacentral:rRNA from 1 species